UCCCGGGCUUCUCCAGAGAUAAGCUUCUUCGGUCGUCUAUCAGGCUGCUCCAAGUGCUCUCUGGAUUCUACUAUCGGUCGACCUCCUAUAAGGGUUAACCAUUCUCCGGACCUCUUUCAGAUCUUUUCCAACAGGAUUCAAUCGACUCCAAUCUGAAUUUCUUCCAAAACUUUGUCAGUUCGUCAGUGGCCGAACUUUCCCAAC
rnacentral:lncRNA from 1 species